rnacentral:lncRNA from 1 species
ACUGGAAUCAGGAAGAAGUACGCAUUAACAUGGGAUAACAUUAUAUAACAACAGAGGAACUGAGGAACAAUACAUCAUGCUACAGAUUUUUGUAUGGGACACUGCAAUCUAGCUUCUACUAAACAAAAAAUCCUCGUCUUUUACUCAAAAACUGAGACAGACGAUGUUGUAUUACCUUCUUCUGUAAUUGGGUUUGAUUGAUAUAUACAGAGAAACGGAAAUUUUUUCAAUAUACAGACACUU